rnacentral:rRNA from 1 species
AGCAGCCGCGGUAAUUCCAGCUCCAAUAGCGUAUAUUAAAGUUGUUGCAGUUAAAAAGCUCGUAGUUGAACUUCGGGGUUCACCCAUUGGUCAGGCUUAAUUGUCUGCACUGGUGAGAUGAGUCUCUACCUUCUGAGGAACUUUCAUGUCAUUAAUUUGGUGUGAUGGGAAAUCAGGACUGUUACUUUGAAAAAAUUAGAGUGUUUAAAGCAGGCUAACGUCUGAAUACAUUAGCAUGGAAUAAUGAAAUAGGACGGACUGAUUCUAUUUCGUUGGUUUCUAGGAUCACCGUAAUGAUUAAUAGGGAUAGUUGGGGGCAUUAGUAUUCAAUUGUCAGAGGUGAAAUUCUUGGAUUUAUUGAAGACUAACUACUGCGAAAGCAUUUGCCAAGGAUGUUUUCAUUAAUCAAGAACGAAAGUUAGGGGAUCGAAGACGAUCAGAUACCGUCGUAGUCUUAACCAUAAACUAUGCCGACUAGGGAUCGGACGAAGUUAAUUUUAUAAUGACGCGUUC